CCCGCUGAACUUAAGCAUAUCAAUAAGCGGAGGAAAAGAAACCAACAGGGAUUGCCUCAGUAACGGCGAGUGAAGCGGCAACAGCUCAAAUUUGAAAUCUGGCUCUUUUAGGGUCCGAGUUGUAAUUUGUAGAGGAUGCUUCGGCGUCGGCUCCGGUCUAAGUUCCUUGGAACAGGACGUCAUAGAGGGUGAGAAUCCCGUAUGUGAUCGGUUGCCCUUGCCAUGUGAAGCUCCUUCGACGAGUCGAGUUGUUUGGGAAUGCAGCUCAAAGUGGGUGGUAAAUUCCAUCUAAAGCUAAAUAUUGGCCUGAGACCGAUAGCGAACAAGUACCGUGAGGGAAAGAUGAAAAGCACUUUGAAAAGAGAGUCAAACAGUACGUGAAAUUGCUGAAAGGGAAACGCUUGAAGUCAGUCGCGCCCCCUGGAAUUCAGCCCUGCUUUUGUAGGGUGUACUCUCCAGGGGGCGGGUCAACAUCAGUUUCGACCGGCAGAUAAAGGCCGGGGGAAUGUGGCUCCUUUCGGAGUGUUAUAGCCCCCAGUCACAUAUGCCGGUUGGGACUGAGGAUCGCAGCGCGCCCUUGUGGCAGGCCUUCGGGCACUUUCGCGCUUAGGAUGUUGGCAUAAUGGCUUUAAGCGACCCGUCUUGAAACACGG
rnacentral:rRNA from 1 species